rnacentral:rRNA from 1 species
AUUGAACGCUGGCGGCAUGCUUUACACAUGCAAGUCGAACGGUAACAGGGUGCUUGCACCGCUGACGAGUGGCGAACGGGUGAGUAAUGCAUCGGAAUGUACCGUGUAAUGGGGGAUAGCUCGGCGAAAGCCGGAUUAAUACCGCAUACGCCCUGAGGGGGAAAGUGGGGGACCGAAAGGCCUCACGUUAUACGAGCAGCCGAUGUCUGAUUAGCUAGUUGGUGAGGUAAAGGCUCACCAAGGCGUCGAUCAGUAGCGGGUCUGAGAGGAUGAUCCGCCACACUGGGACUGAGACACGGCCCAGACUCCUACGGGAGGCAGCAGUGGGGAAUUUUGGACAAUGGGCGCAAGCCUGAUCCAGCCAUGCCGCAUGUCUGAAGAAGGCCUUCGGGUUGUAAAGGACUUUUGUCCGGGAGCAAAUCCUAGUGGUUAAUAACCGCUGGGUCUGAGAGUACCGGAAGAAUAAGCACCGGCUAACUACGUG